rnacentral:rRNA from 1 species
UGGCUCAGGAUGAACGCUAGCGGCAGGCUUAACACAUGCAAGUCGAGGGGCAGCGCGGGGCGGCAACGUCCUGGCGGCGACCGGCGGAAGGGUGCGUAACGCGUGAGCGACAUGCCCGUUGCCCGGGGACAACCGGUGGAAACGCCGACUAAUCCCCGAUGGGACGGAGGCCCUCAUGGGUCUCUGUUGAAAGUUACGGCGGCGACGGAUUGGCUCGCGUCCGAUUAGCUUGUUGGCGGGGUAACGGCCCACCAAGGCUACGAUCGGUAGGGGUUCUGAGAGGAAGGUCCCCCACAAUGGAACUGAGACACGGUCCAUACUCCUACGGGAGGCAGCAGUGAGGAAUAUUGGUCAAUGGGCGGAAGCCUGAACCAGCCAUGCCGCGUGCGGGAAGGAGGCCCUAUGGGCUGUGAACCGCUUUUGCCUGGGGGCAAUAAGGGCGUCGCGCACGUCCGAUGAGAGUACCAGGGGAAUAAGCAUCGGCUAACUCCGUGCCAGCAGCCGCGGUAAUACGGGGGAUGCGAGCGUUAUCCGGAUUCAUUGGGUUUAAAGGGUGCGUAGGCUGUGCGUCAAGUCAGGGGUGAAAUUCCGGGGCUCAACUCCGGGGCUGCCCUUGAUACUGUCGCGCUGGAGUGCGGAUGCCGCCGGAGGAAUGAGUGGUGUAGCGGUGAAAUGCUUAGAUAUCACUCAGAACACCGAUUGCGAAGGCAUCUGGCGAAUCCGUAACUGACGCUGAGGCACGAAAGCGUGGGGAUAGAACAGGAUUAGAUACCCUGGUAUUCCACGCCGUAAACGAUGAUGGCUAACCGCCGGCGACACACUGUCGGUGGCCAAGCGAAAGCGAUAAGCCAUCCACCUGGGGAGUACGUCGGCAACGAUGAAACUCAAAGGAAUUGACGGGGGCCCGCACAAGCGGAGGAACAUGUG